CGUCAGCAGGGAGGGAGGAGCAAUUUCUUCCACGUGUCAAAGCUCUCAGAUGCGCGUUUUGCUUCUUUCUUUUUUGGUUAUUAAUGGACUUUUUGGACUUUAUUUGUAAUUGAAAAUGUUGAUUAUCCAGCCCAAUAUAGAGAGUCAAAUGAAGUCGACAUUCCUUCUGGGGUUUCUUGCCUCCUGCAGAAUCCGGGGAAGCUUAACCGUUAAUAGAGCUUCUGAGAUUCUUAGAGAGACUUCCCUUGGUCCGUAAAUUGGCGCAUCUGUGACUGUUCCCGUCGUUUCGUUGUUGCUUCUUCUCCUCACAUGCGUUACAAGCCGCAUUGAUUCGUCAUUAAGGAGAUCUUAACUCUUGCGACCCACUGCAACCACAAUCACUCAAUCAAUGAGUCUUAUCCCUCUUCCAGUAGGUGGAUCUCCACCUAUAAAAAGGAAAAUCGCCGGCCAGCUAACUCGAAUAUGCUUUUAAAGAGAACAUAUCUCGCUCCUCCACCUUCUAAGAGCAUAACGACCUCUCCGGGUCAGCUUUUAUCCAUAAGAGGAAGCAUAUCAGCGAGUCCAGAAGAGAAGGAAAGCACAUGGGUGAUGGGUAUUACGCGUAAGAGCUACACCACGUUGAAGAUCUGAAGAAAAUUUAUGUAGACGCAGUUUCAGCCAUUAAUGGCGGCGGAGGGAAAUCACUUGGUGGCUGAGGAGGGACCAUGACAUCACUUGGCGGUGGUGGUGGUCGGCGUUGGGUUUGUAACGGGUGCCUGCACCUCAUGUCAUGUCUCCGAUGACACCGAGCGGUUUCAGUUUAUCAACAUCAUAAGAAAAAGUCUGUUGGUGCUCAUAUCACACGUGUCAUUGAACUCUUAUUUGAGACAAGGCAAACCUUUACACCAGAUCAAAUAAACGAAAACUGUUAUGUUAUUAUGCUUGCCAACAAGGCUGUUCUUGAUAGUUUGAGGAACAAUGAUGAGAGGAGGUUCUCUUACAAGGUAUAACCUUUACGUUUGAUUAAAGUUGCUUUCUCUUUUUGAACAACAAUACUCCUGCUGUAACAUGCUAAGCACGAUGUCAAAGAUAAGAAGUAGCUUCUCGGACUGGUUAUGAAUUAUCCUGCUGGGAUUGCAGCAGUUGAUCUGAAAGAUGCUUACCUGAAUGUCAUGCAGGAUUUACAUGUUUGCUUUUUCUUAUACAAUUGGUCGGGACAAAGAUAAUGUUAAGUGUUUGAUCACCUUAAAUCCAGUUGGUUUUGGCUGGAAAAGAACUUAUCUCAAGUUGUGUAUUUAUAUGGAUAUAUAUAGUUUGGUUCUUGAUUGUGUUUGUAUUAUGCGGGCUCUGAGAGCUUCGAAACGCUGAUUCACAAGAUGAUAUUGUGUACCCUACGUCCCUGACGACUUCAACCUCAGGUCGAGGUUGAUGACGAGUUCAAAUCUCUGCUCGGAGACAUAGACACCCCACGGACCUGCUUGACGUGGAGAAGGAGCUGCUUAAGAUUAUUUGUGUGACCAAUCCUUUGUGAACGUUUAGAGUUUUAACCGGUGAUAAUGUGUGUUGAAAACAGGAUGAUAAAUCAGGAACCAUUACUGAAGUACUGGCUGAAGAUGGAAAACUAGCCAGCGUUGAUACGGGACAUCGUUACAAAAACUUGGAUCAAGAGAGAAAUAGUAAAAGAAGUAAGAAACGUUUGUGAAGCAGAAGCUAGAAGGUAAGAUGAGGUUAAUGAUAAAUCACAAUUGGAACAUAUCAAACCACAGUGACAGGAAGGUUGUAGGGGAGUGACGAUGUGAUGGUAGGUCCACAGUAGCCAAAGUCAGCCUGUUAGAAGCAGCUUCUUGAUCUAGACCAAGAAGGCGACACCUGAUUUGGAAUUGAACUUCCUUGACAAGAACAUGUGCUGGUUUUAGAACAGAGGAAUGAAGAUGUGCAUUCCUCUCCCUCCAUAGAAAUUAUUAACUCCCUCAAAAAUGAGCUUCAGAAUGGGUUUACUCCCUGCAGCGUAACAAGUAACAACCACUGCAAGCCACGAGAUCACAUCAUCAAGAGUUGAGGAUGAACUGAAAUGGUUCCUGAUAAAGAAAGUUUGCAGCCUCUCUUUACCAUCAUGUAAUAAACUCAGUCAGGUUGGUUUGGUUUCAAUUUCCCAUGUUUUCUUCUGAACUUUCUUUUGGGAAUCAUGUAAUAUAUCAGUAUGCAUUAAGAAAAUAAUUUACUUUGUAGUAUGUAACAUAUGGAAGAAAUGUUAGAUCAAACGCAUUGGGAAUCAUGGAAUCAUGUAAAAUAAUUUCUCUGUAUAAUUUUCCUUUGGUAAGAAUUGUUAGAUCAAACGCAA